AGUAGUUGAUCAUGGCUCAGGACGACGCUGGCGGCGUGCUUAACACAUGCAAGUCGAACGGGGAUAGCGUUGGAAGUCCUUCGGGGUGGAAGAUGCUAUUCGAGUGGCGGACGGGUGAGUAACGCGUGAACAAUCUGUCCCAGACAGGGGGAUAACACUUGGAAACAGGUGCUAAUACCGCAUAAGACCACGGUGUCGCAUGGCACAGGGGUAAAAGGAGCGAUCCGGUUUGGGGUGAGUUCGCGUCCGAUUAGCCAGUUGGCGGGGUAACGGCCCACCAAAGCGACGAUCGGUAGCCGAUCUGAGAGGAUGACCGGCCACAUUGGAACUGAGAGACGGUCCAAACUCCUACGGGAGGCAGCAGUGGGGAAUAUUGGGCAAUGGGCGAAAAAGCCUGACCCAGCAACGCCGCGUGAGUGAAGAAGGCCUUCGGGUUGUAAAGCUCUGUUAUAGGGGACGAAGGAAGUGACGGUACCCUAUAAGGAAGCCCCGGCUAACUACGUGCCAGCCGCCGC
rnacentral:rRNA from 1 species